GAUGAACGCUGGCGGCGUGCUUAACACAUGCAAGUCGAACGAUGAAGCCCAGCUUGCUGGGUGGAUUAGUGGCGAACGGGUGAGUAACACGUGAGUAACCUGCCCUUGACUCUGGGAUAAGCGCUGGAAACGGCGUCUAAUACCGGAUACGAGCUUCCACCGCAUGGUGAGUUGCUGGAAAGAAUUUCGGUCAAGGAUGGACUCGCGGCCUAUCAGGUAGUUGGUGAGGUAACGGCUCACCAAGCCGACGACGGGUAGCCGGCCUGAGAGGGUGACCGGCCACACUGGGACUGAGACACGGCCCAGACUCCUACGGGAGGCAGCAGUGGGGAAUAUUGCACAAUGGGCGCAAGCCUGAUGCAGCAACGCCGCGUGAGGGACGAAGGCCUUCGGGUCGUAAACCUCUUUUAGCAGGGAAGAAGCGAAAGUGACGGUACCUGCAGAAAAGGCACCGGCUAACUACGUG
rnacentral:rRNA from 1 species